UGCAGUCGAACGGCAGCACGGGAGCAAUCCUGGUGGCGAGUGGCGAACGGGUGAGUAAUAUAUCGGAACGUGCCCAGUCGUGGGGGAUAACGCAGCGAAAGCUGUGCUAAUACCGCAUACGAUCUAUGGAUGAAAGCGGGGGAUCGCAAGACCUCGCGCGAUUGGAGCGGCCGAUAUCAGAUUAGGUAGUUGGUGGGGUAAAGGCCCACCAAGCCGACGAUCUGUAGCUGGUCUGAGAGGACGACCAGCCACACUGGAACUGAGACACGGUCCAGACUCCUACGGGAGGCAGCAGUGGGGAAUUUUGGACAAUGGACGAAAGUCUGAUCCAGCCAUGCCGCGUGCAGGAAGAAGGCCUUCGGGUUGUAAACUGCUUUUGUCAGGGAAGAAAUCCUUUGAGCUAAUACCUCGGAGGGAUGACGGUACCUGAAGAAUAAGCACCGGCUAACUACGUGCCAGCAGCCGCGGUAAUACGUAGGGUGCGAGCGUUAAUCGGAAUUACUGGGCGUAAAGCGUGCGCAGGCGGUUAUACAAGACAGAGGUGAAAUCCCCGGGCUCAACCUGGGAACUGCCUUUGUGACUGUAUAGCUAGAGUACGGUAGAGGGGGAUGGAAUUCCGCGUGUAGCAGUGAAAUGCGUAGAUAUGCGGAGGAACACCGAUGGCGAAGGCAAUCCCCUGGACCUGUACUGACGCUCAUGCACGAAAGCGUGGGGAGCAAACAGGAUUAGAUACCCUGGUAGUCCACGCCCUAAACGAUGUCAACUGGUUGUUGGGAGGGUUUCUUCUCAGUAACGAAGCUAACGCGUGAAGUGACCGC
rnacentral:rRNA from 1 species